UUCGCACUUUGGCCUCCAUUUUCCAGUUGACCUCUCUCUCUCUCUCUCUCUCUCUCUCACUGUGCAUCUCUUCCUCGUCAAACAAAUUGGAGCUCUGAUUCCUUAGCUCUGACCAAAACAAAUCUCACCACAGAUGGAGGCUGAAACCCUCUCAUUCUCUUAGCAAUGUCGUCGCGACUGACGAGACGGAGACCGAGACAGCUAGCAUCACAAGCAUCACAACAGCCGCGACGCUUCCGAUGACCACCACCGCCAACACCGCGCUCGAUCUGACCGCGAUUCGAAGCCCGAGCGCUCCCACGACCAUAGAUCUCGCCGUGACAGGUCGCAGGAGCCGCGGGACGACCGGGAAGAGUCGCACGACCACCGCGAGUGGUCGUACGAGAGGGAAGGGAGUAGAGGGAGGUCCAGGCAUCAUGGGAGAGGUCUGAGGAGGGAGAGGAGUGAGGAUAGAGGUGGCGGUGUGGAUGAGUCUGAAGAUUUAAAGAGAUCUAGGGGUUUGGAUAAAGAGGAAAGAGAGGAAGCGAUUUGAUGAAUGGCGAGUAAAGGAAGAAGAGGAUGAGAAUUAUGCUGGAGAAUUGGAAAGGAGCACUAAAGAGAAUGUGGUUCACAGUGAGGUUAAGGUUAAGAAAGAAGAAUUGGAGAAUGAUGAGGGCUUCACUACCACCCAAAAUGGGGGUGCUCCGGUGGGUAAUGUGAGUUUUCUCUGAACUUUUUCUGUGUUUUACUAUUGUGCAUUUGAUAAUUGCCAUUGUUUGAUAACUGAUAAUAUUCACAUUUGGGUUGCAUCUUUGGUGGAUACAUUUAGGCUAGCAUUUGUAAUAUCUUAUAAAUCUGUGACGAUGAUUUUCUGUUAAGAAUGAUUGAGGAAUACAUUAAACAGAAGCAUAAAGAUUGCGAUAUUUGAAUGGAAUUUAGUUCAAAGGAUUUUGACUUCUAAAAGCUGCACUUUGUCCCUAGACGCCUCCGAUCCCCUCCAUAGUUCAAAGGAUUUUGGUUCAUUGUAUAAGGACUUGAGUAACCAACCUAGGUUAUUUCAAACCCAACUUUCCGAAAUAAAGAAGAGAUUAAGCUAUUGGACGAACCCUGAUAAGAUCAACAAUGUAGAUCAGUUGGGGCAAAUGGAAGAUUCAAUUCAAGAAUCGUGUAACCAGAUUCAAACACAUAAGGUAUCCUCCUGCUUCAUUUGUGGAUCUCAUUAUAAGAAAUAGUGUAUACCCUGCUGAUGUUAAGAUUGUGCUGUUUGAAUAAUGUCACAUGAUUAAUCUUUUGUAUAAUUGUGAAAUUCUAUGGUUAAGCGGUAGAUUUCUUUUCCAAUUAUGAUGUUUAAAUUAACCGCUAUGGCGACGGCAACGGAGCUCUUUUCAAAUCCUUGGCGGUUAUGAUCGACAGCCGGCGUUGUUCUGUCGAGAUCGGAUGCUGUGGUCACCGACUGUUGCUCUGUUAAAUGUUACUGGUUGAUUAUUCCGCUUUGAUGGGUUAAUUAUAACUUUCUGAUGAUUGGGGAUGUAUUAAGGUAUGGGGACGAUAGGCUCUGGGGGUUGAGGGGUUGUGGUCUGGACGGAUCUUUGUCAUCGGGCCUUUGCCAUGGCAGGUGCACUUGCAUGGCAGGUCUAAAAGAUUAAUAGUAAAAGAAAAGAUUUUUUGGUUUGAGGGGGGAGACAGCAUGGGGAUUUUUAGCCCAGGGUCUCUUCCCCUAUGAAUCUUUUUUCUUUAUUUGAAUUAUGUUAUGUUUUGGAUAUGUCCAGGGACUUUUCUCUUUUAUUUACAAUGCAAAAAAUACUGUAAAGUAUACACAAGAGGUUGCAUGAUGAAAGUGAAGGGUGUUCGAUAUAUUAGCAGAGAAAGCAUCUUUUUGGCUGCUGCACCACAAGUUUCUUUUAUUCCAUUUUCAUUAGAAACUACGUUCACAUUCUUGUUUUAGUAAAAAUAAUUCUCUUUCCUAUCCUUUUUUAUUUUUAUUUUUAUUUUUUUGUCUGAACUCUUUUUGCUUCCUGAUUAUCUGGUUCCUCCUAAAAGUUCUUGGUGGUGGUUUCUUCGUUUUUGUUUCUAUUUUUUCUUUUCCCUUUUUCUGCUAUUGUUUUUUUGUCUGUCAACACAUAUAGAACUCAGUAUAUGGGGUCUUGUCAUGACUUUGGUUCUUAUGGAGAUAAUAAGAUUGUGAAUGAUUUAGUGAUUUAA